rnacentral:tRNA from 1 species
GGAGACGUAUCGAAGCGGUCAUAACGGGGCUGACUCGAAAUCAGUUUGCCCGAAAGGGCACGUGGGUUCGAAUCCCACCGUCUCCGCCA